AGAAAGGUUGGCUAUUCUGUCACAAAUUUCUCAGAUGCCAGCUAGGGCUACCUCUGCCCCUCGCAUCGCAGCCACUCUUCUUCCUCCCCCAUUUCCCCCCAGAUAGAGCCUGCGUGAUCGAGUCACCCGCCAAUCGAUCCCCGACCAUGGCCUCCUCCGCCGUCGCCUGCCCGUGGGAUGCGCUCCCGGAGCACCUCCAGGAGCGCAUCGUCUCCCUCCUGCCUCUCACGGCGCUCCUCCCUGUAGCCGCCGUCUCCCGGGCACUCCGCCGCCUCCUCCGCUCCCCGGCCUUCCACGCCCUCCUCUCCCCGCACCGCCUCGACGCCUUCUUCCUCCUCUCCCCGCGCCACGCCUUCCACCUGCUCACCCGCCGCCUCCUCCCGCUGGCCGCGUCACGCCCGCUCGAUUCUUCCUCCCCGCCCCCACCGCUCGUCUCCUCCGCCUCCCCAUCGCUCGUCGUCACCGCUGCCUCGCUCCAACGCCUCCCGACGCUCCCCGACCGCUCCUAUCUCAUUGCUGUCAUAGUCCCACGCUCCUCCUCCACCAGCCACAGCCAGGAAUACACCCUUGUCGCCGUCAGCACGGGCGCGGCUGUCCGGUCGUACACCCUAGACUCCGCUGAUCCCUCACCAAGGUGGGAACCCCGGGGCGAGCUCCCACGGCCAUUUGCGCUUCUUGGCAACGCUGCGAUCGCCUGCGACCAUUCUCUGCUCUACGUGCUCGGCCGUGGUCCGGAUGCUCUUCUCUCGUUCGAUCUCGUGACGGGGCAGUGGAUGGUGCCGCCGGUUGUUAUGCCGCACGGCCUUACAACAGCCCACCUGUUUGUUUUUGAAGGGCGGCUCUUCUUGGUAGGUGGGGUGGAGGCGUUUGGGGUGCUGCAGCGGGUGGUGGUUUGGCAGUUGGACAACGACGAGGCAGCAGGAUGGAUGGAGGUAGGCACAAUACCUGCAGAGGUGUUCGAUGAGUUGGUGGCAGGCAGGCAUGGCAGUUUCUGGCACUUUCAGGCUGCAGAAAGAAUGGGGAUCGUUUGCCUGUACAAUGCUGUGGACGGUAGGCUGGUGAUGUUUGAUGUGGUGGAUUGUGCAUGGACAAAGCUGCCACGAGUGUCUGGCCUGGAUGCAGAAGAGAGCCGCCAGUGGUUUGGGCAUGUCUUGGAGCCGGGCAUCGAGCUCUUGCUGGGACAACGCUGGCCGUGUUUAUGAGGAUUUAGUGUCAGUGCACACUUGUCUAUCCAUGUUUACCAAAGAGUGUGAAGUUUUGUUCCUGGAAUUCGACAGUGACAGCAUCACUGAGGUCACACACAAGAUACCCCAGGGAUUAUUUGAGCACUGCCAAUAGACCUUUUUAUCAGGGUGGGCAAAAAAAAAAUUUUGAUGGCUGUGAUGGACUUGGUGCGUCUACAGUUCUUGCCACCGUAGCAGAGACCGUCACGUCUGCAAGAUUCACGUUUGAUAUAGUUAUCCGCGUGGAUUGCUCAGCUUGAGAAAGCAGAAGAACAUUGCAGCAAAGGAUCGGAGUGGCUAAAGCUCGGCACCUCAGCAGUGGCCUUGUUUGUCAGCGUAGCUAAAAGCUCUACAGCUAGCUGAUCUAUGAUGUGUUAAAGCACCGUAAGUUUGGUAAUUUUAAAUAAUGGGAGUAAUAAAGAGAUUUAUCUAGAUUUGGUAUUUUUUGUUUACUAUGAACUGUCAGUUUACUGCAUAAGGAGGCUGCCCAAGUUAGCCAUGAUAUCAACCCAGUAUUACUGUAAUCAUACGUUGUAGUCUAUGCAUUUUUCCUGCAUCAUAAGUUCAUAACCAUGCUAACUAUAUCGACUAUGAUCAGGAAGCCCACGCUUCAUACUGUUGGGUGUGUAUGGGAUUAUUAGGAGACAGUGCAGGGCCAAGAGAGUUUUUGAAGUGAUGGGAUCGGAGUAUCUGCACACAAAAGGAAAAUAAAGCAGGUGGUUACGCCAGUUUUCUAAACUCCAAGAAAAGAAGAGCUAAUGGAUUGCAUCAUAUCUGAGAACCUAGAGAGCCAAGACAUCCAGACCAUGCCCAAGGAGACAUCAUAUUUCUUGAAAUUGAAAAACUCUGGUCAUCCGACAGCAUUGCCGAAGCACUUGUUUGGACAGUCCAGCAAUCUUCAUGUGUUGAUAUUCUGCAGGUGCACCUUUAGUUUUGCCUCCCCUCCUUUUGCCAGCUGCAGUAACCUAAGAUUUAUUUUUAUAGAGGGAUGCAGAGAUGAAGUUGCUGAGUUAAUCAGCAAAGGAGAUGAGAAUGAAGCAUGACGGCUUAGGACAUACGGAUAUAAACUGGGAUUGGAUCUUAUACCUGUCAAAGAUUGGUACUGAUGAUUGAACUUGGGAAGUUAAAUCUAAAGGCUGCAGGAGCAAGUAGGUUUGCCCCGGACAUGACUAAGCCUGAGUUGACAUGCUUAUGUAAUCAUCAAAGGCUCCGCGUGAUUGGUUCUACUUUCUUCACUGCAGUACAUGACCCAUUCGUGGGAAUGCGGAAGCUCGAGCUUCUAGGCUUAUCUAGAAAUAAUGAAAUAGAAGAACUUGUCGGUCGCGAGUACACUGAAGGUGCUUGUCCUUGAUGGUUGUGUUAGGCUGCAACAUGUUGAGCCAGAGGCUCUCUCCAAAUCAUUGGAGUCAUUCAGUUUUGAUGGAUUUGGACAAGCAUCCAGGUGGAAGAAUUUGCUGCAGAUGCCAGAAAAGGAACUGCGGCGUAGUGCUUGCCUUAUCUCUCUAGAGGGUUGUGCCUGACUGAAGAGUAUAUUUUUGCGUGGUUUGCCAAAUGGAGGACCCGAAUCUCUGAUACAGCAAUCAACUCACGAGACUUUGAAGAUAUGGAGAUCCACAAGUUGAGUCUGAGUGGCUGUGAAAACAUGCGUAUGGUCGGCUGCAAGUUAUCCAUCGGUGAAGUUCUCUGUGCGGACACCGAGUGAAGGCAAAAAGUUACUCCCUCUGAUCCUGGAUGGUGAGUUGGUGACUGUCAGUGGUCUCAUUCCUACUCCUAGGAGGAUACAGCUCAUCAGUUUGCUCAUGUCGUGGCUACAUUCCUAUGAGGCUUCAGGUUUGAUCGGACAGAGAGAUAGAGGCAUUGUGUUCCGCAUUGGUGACACUACUGGAGACCAAUGUGGAACUUUCUGGAACCAAGUUCCUGUAAUUUAGCACUAUUGAUGAACUGGCUCUUUCGUCACGCACCUAUGAGUAUGUUUUUGAUAAGGUCGUCAAUAAGGAAACUCACCCGGACGCCGAACGGCAUUUUCGUAGUGCAGUGGUUUCAUUAGGCAAAUGUCACAAACGUCCAAGCUAAAAGAGGAGCCUGCACCACAGCAUGAUUAACAAUCUAAUGUCGAAGCUCUGUGUGCGACAUCAAUUGCCAAUAUCGGUUAUGGACAGCCAUGAUUGGACAUGGUCGCCACAAGGACAUAAACAGGGUUUCGCGAGAUAAAGAGCAUUUUCAAUGGGCUACUCUAAAGUUAUCUCAAAUGUACUACGUAGGCAAACGGACAUCUUGGCCUAAAAAUCAACUCUCAAUGAGCUACCUCAAAUGGACAUCUCUAUUGAGCUAAUAAAUGAAAUACCAUCAGUGCUCUAUUGAGCGAAUAAUGAAAUACCAUCAUUGCCACUUUGACGGAGAUCUGUGGUGAGUGUGACGGUGGCAGCGGUCUAUGGUUAGUGCGGGAAAAAAAAUGCAUGCUCUCACCAGUCACGACCAAACAUGUGUGGCAGAGCCUUUGAGUGAUUGCAUGUAUAACAGCUUGUUUGACACCCAUCAUUUGGCUUGGAAUCAUGUAAUUCAUUUACAGCUCGUUUGGUAACCUUCAAUUCGUUUCGUUU